rnacentral:rRNA from 1 species
GAGUUUGAUCCUGGCUCAGGACGAACGCUGGCGGCACGCUUAACACAUGCAAGUCGAACGAGAGAAGAGAAGCUUGCUUUUCUGAUCUAGUGGCGGACGGGUGAGUAACACGUGAGCAAUCUGCCUUUCAGAGGGGGAUACCGAUUGGAAACGAUCGUUAAUACCGCAUAAUAUAAUUGAACCGCAUGAUUUGAUUAUCAAAGAUUUAUCGCUGAAAGAUGAGCUCGCGUCUGAUUAGCUAGUUGGUGAGGUAAUGGCCCACCAAGGCAACGAUCGGUAGCCGGACUGAGAGGUUGAACGGCCACAUUGGGACUGAGACACGGCCCAGACUCCUACGGGAGGCAGCAGUGGGGAAUAUUGCACAAUGGGGGAAACCCUGAUGCAGCGACGCCGCGUGGAGGAAGAAGGUCUUCGGAUUGUAAACUCCUGUUGUUGAGGAAGAUAAUGACGGUACUCAACAAGGAAGUGACGGCUAACUACGUGCCAGCAGCCGCGGUAAAACGUAGGUCACAAGCGUUGUCCGGAAUUACUGGGUGUAAAGGGAGCGCAGGCGGGAAGACAAGUUGGAAGUGAAAUCUAUGGGCUCAACCCAUAAACUGCUUUCAAAACUGUUUUUCUUGAGUAGUGCAGAGGUAGGCGGAAUUCCCGGUGUAGCGGUGGAAUGCGUAGAUAUCGGGAGGAACACCAGUGGCGAAGGCGGCCUACUGGGCACCAACUGACGCUGAGGCUCGAAAGUGUGGGUAGCAAACAGGAUUAGAUACCCUGGUAGUCCACACUGUAAACGAUGAUUACUAGGUGUUGGAGGAUUGACCCCUUCAGUGCCGCAGUUAACACAAUAAGUAAUCCACCUGGGGAGUACGACCGCAAGGUUGAAACUCAAAGGAAUUGACGGGGGCCCGCACAAGCAGUGGAGUAUGUGGUUUAAUUCGACGCAACGCGAAGAACCUUACCAAGUCUUGACAUCCUGCGACGGACAUAGAAAUAUGUUUUUCCUUCGGGACGCAGAGACAGGUGGUGCAUGGUUGUCGUCAGCUCGUGUCGUGAGAUGUUGGGUUAAGUCCCGCAACGAGCGCAACCCUUAUGGUCAGUUACUACGCAAGAGGACUCUGGCCAGACUGCCGUUGACAAAACGGAGGAAGGUGGGGAUGACGUCAAAUCAUCAUGCCCUUUAUGACUUGGGCUACACACGUACUACAAUGGCGUUAAACAAAGAGAAGCAAGACCGCGAGGUGGAGCAAAACUCAGAAACAACGUCCCAGUUCGGACUGCAGGCUGCAACUCGCCUGCACGAAGUCGGAAUUGCUAGUAAUCGCAGAUCAGCAUGCUGCGGUGAAUACGUUCCCGGGCCUUGCACACACCGCCCGUCAA